rnacentral:rRNA from 1 species
UACGUAGGGUGCGAGCGUUGUCCGGAAUUAUUGGGCGUAAAGAGCUCGUAGGCGGUCUGUCGCGUCUGCUGUGAAAACUCGGGGCUUAACCCCGGGCCUGCAGUCGAUACGGGCAAACUAGAGUGCUGCAGGGGAGACUGGAAUUCCUGGUGUAGCGGUGAAAUGCGCAGAUAGUCAGGAGGAACACCGGUGGCGAAGGCGGGUCUCUGGGCAGUAACUGACGCUGGAGGAGCGAAAGCGUGGGGAGCGAACAGG